GUCGUGAUAGCGUCACGCGCAUGGAGAGGCGGGGCUGAGUAGAAGCAGGGUGGCGGACGGGUUGCUCGCCACCGGUCCCCUGCAGGCAACAUGGAGUCAGAAUCUGCUGCCAUCCGGGGCAGCGGAGCCCCGCUCGCGGCCAAGCGGGUUGCUGAGAACUGCUGUUAAUAUGACCAACCUGAAGCGGAGGAUAGAAGCAAGACCUUGGCUAGCCCCAGCCGCUGUCCUGGUGCCAGCCUUUGCUCGCCAGUAAAUGCCCCAAAGCCCGCACCUAAAGGCAACCACCUGUAGCUCCGUCGGCAAAGGAUCUGCUUUGCAUGCAUGCCGAAGGCCCCCGGUUCAACCCCGGCUUCUCCAGUUUGGGUCUCUCCCUUGCAGCGCUGGUGUCUGAGUGAGGCUGGGAGCUGAGCCAGAAAGGUCGCCAUCCUGCGUGCACUUCCGAGGGAGAUGAAGGAGGCUUUGGACCCGGCUUCCAAGAUGUGAGAUUAUUUAGUUCAGGUGAGAUCCAGCAGAACCCAAUGAAGAGGGGUCGGAUUCUGUCCUUGGAGCUUUAGGUCAGCAGCAGCUGGAAUGCAUCCUGCCUGAUGGGGGCUGAAUCUCUGCACGCCCGCUUCAGCUCUGAGACUGGAAGUGGAAGCUGCAUCUGUGUUCCUUCUUGGUGAAAGAUCACAUGAGGAGAAGGAGAUCCCUGCCUGCCUGGCCUCCUGAGAGCUUCCUUGAUCAGCAGCCACUUCUGUUCCCCCUUCACAUUCAGCCAGCUAGGCGGCAUUGCACUCGGCACACUGGUGGAGUCCGUGACGUUUCUGCACUGGGUUUAGCUCUUAGUCACUGGCUGACUAAUUCCGGCCCGGGUGUCGAAUUGGAACAUGCUCAAAGGAGGAAGUAUCUGGUCAAAGCACACAAGAUGCUUUUAAUAAAUAUGCAGAGGGGAGUA